CUUAUCAGUUUAAUAUCUGAAACGUCCCCUACCCAGGGACCAUAUAUUAAAUUGAUUGCGCCGUCCACUCCACCUAUUGACCCGGUAUUGCAGUACCACCAGGUACGGUGC
rnacentral:snRNA from 1 species